AAUGGCGCUGCUACCUGCAAGUCGAACGUGAUCCGCCCUUCGGGGUGGUGAAAGUGGCGCACGGGUGAGUAACGCGUGGAUAAUCUGCCCGAGGAUUUGGGAUAACAUCUCGAAAGGGGUGCUAAUACCGAAUAAGCCCACGGGGUCUACGGAUCUUGCGGGAAAAGGGGGGGACCUUCGGGCCUCCUGUCCUUGGAUGAGUCUGCGUACCAUUAGCUAGUUGGUGGGGUAAUGGCCUACCAAGGCGACGAUGGUUAGCUGGUCUGAGAGGAUGAUCAGCCACACUGGAACUGAGACACGGUCCAGACUCCUACGGGAGGCAGCAGUGGGGAAUUUUGCGCAAUGGGGGAAACCCUGACGCAGCAACGCCGCGUGGGUGAUGAAGGCCUUCGGGUCGUAAAGCUCUGUCUGGAGGGAAGAAAUGAUUGGGAGCUAAUACCUCUUGAUCUUGACGGUACCUCUGAAGGAAGCACCGGCUAACUCCGUGCCAGCAGCCGCGGUAAUACGGAGGGUGCAAGCGUUGUUCGGAAUUAUUGGGCGUAAAGCGCGUGUAGGCGGUCUUUUAAGUCUGAUGUGAAAGCCCCGGGCUCAACCUGGGAAGUGCAUUGGAAACUGGGAGGCUUGAGUACGGGAGAGGAGAGUGGAAUUCCUAGUGUAGGAGUGAAAUCCGUAGAUAUUAGGAGGAACACCGGUGGCGAAGGCGGCUCUCUGGACCGAUACUGACGCUGAGACGCGAAAGCGUGGGUAGCAAACAGGAUUAGAUACCCUGGUAGUCCACGCCGUAAACGAUGAGUACUACGUGUGCGGUAUUGACCCCUGC
rnacentral:rRNA from 1 species